AUAGAUUCUUUCUGUUUUCUUUGACGCAGUAAUAAAAGAAGCAUAAUUUUAUUUAUUGCUGGCAUGACUAAUGUUAUUUUUAAGACGGCACCCGUUUAAUCCACUUGUCAAAGCACGGUUCCCGCCUGUCAACUUAUUAUCACAUUCAUAAAAACAAAAGUUAAUUAUCCCAAGAAAAUUAUUUUCACCAAAAGUUUACCUACAAUUGAGAAAGUAUGUGGCGGAAAGUUGUAUCACUGAUAUUUUAGAAUAUUGACGGACGGACGGAUGGCGGAUGUUUGAGAGUCGGUAAUAAUUACCGAGAGAAAUAACGGACCGAAAUUGACGGACGGACGGGGACGGACGGAUGAAGCGGAUGAUUGGGAGUCCAGCUUAACCCAGGAAAAUUACCACCGUGUGACGAAUGGCUGCAAAUAUUGAUUGCAUAAACAGUAUGAAGAAAAGUGGAAUUGCAGAAUAUCUUCUCAUUUGCUUGAAUGCUAUGAGUUGUUUAUCGACAUCUUUUCCUUGAUGCUACAUUUAACAAUGUAUUUUAAUGCUACAUAACAAUGAAGCAGGUGCUGAUGAUGCUUUCCAAGAGUUGGGGGUAGAGAGAAGUUAUUAGAUAACUGGUUCAAUCAGUCUUUUUGCAUUUGUUAUUAUAUGCUAAUUUGUUUAUCACUUCAGUUUUUAUAAGGAUGUAUUCAAAUAAAUUAGACAUUCAAAAUAAAA